CAGUAGCCACGGGGAUACGAAGGGGGCUAGCGUUGCUCGGAAUUACUGGGCGUAAAGGGAGCGUAGGCGGACAUUUAAGUCAGGGGUGAAAUCCCAGAGCUCAACUCUGGAACUGCCUUUGAUACUGGGUGUCUUGAGUGUGAUAGAGGUAUGUGGAACUCCGAGUGUAGAGGUGAAAUUCGUAGAUAUUCGGAAGAACACCAGUGGCGAAGGCGACAUACUGGAUCAUUACUGACGCUGAGGCUCGAAAGCGUGGGGAGCAAACAGGAUUAGAUACCCGGGUAGUCCCUGUCUCUUAUAC
rnacentral:rRNA from 1 species